rnacentral:rRNA from 1 species
UACAGAGGGUGCGAGCGUUGUUCGGAAUUACUGGGCGUAAAGGGCGCGUAGGCGGCCUUCUAAGUCAGACGUGAAAUCCCCCGGCUUAACCUGGGAACUGCGUCUGAUACUGGGAGGCUUGAGUAUGGGAGAGGGAUGUAGAAUUCCAGGUGUAGCGGUGAAAUGCGUAGAUAUCUGGAGGAAUACCGGUGGCGAAGGCGGCAUCCUGGACCAUUACUGACGCUGAGGCGCGAAAGCUAGGGGAGCAAACGGG